rnacentral:rRNA from 1 species
CACUGUUAUCGGAUUGAUACUAAGCCNUGCGAGUCAUUGUAGCAAUACAAGGCAGACGGCUCAGUAACGCGUAGUCAAUCUACCCUAUGGACGGGAAUAACCUCGGGAAACUGAGAAUAAUGCCCGAUAGAACAUUAUGCCUGGAAUGGUUUAUGUUUCAAAUGAUUUAUCGCCAUAGGAUGGGACUGCGGCCUAUCAGUUUGUUGGUGAGGUAAUGGCCCACCAAGACUAUUACAGGUACGGGCUCUGAGAGGAGUGGCCCGGAGAUGGGUACUGAGACACGGACCCAGGCCCUAUGGGGCGCAGCAGGCGAGAAAACUUUGCAAUGUGCGAAAGCACGGCAAGGUUAAUCCGAGUGGUUUCUGCUAAAGAAACCUUUUGUCAGUCCUAGAAACACUAACGAAUAAGGGGUGGGCAAGUUCUGGUGUCAGCCGCCGCGGUAAAACCAGCACCUCAAGUGGUCAGGAUGAUUAUUGGGCCUAAAGCAUCCGUAGCUCGUUUUGUAAGUUUUCGGUUAAAUCCAUACGCUUAACGUAUGGGCUGCCGGGAAUACUGCAUAACUAGGAAGUGGGAGAGGUAGACGGUACUCAGUAGGAAGGGGUAAAAUCCUUUGAUCUAUUGAUGACCACCUGUGGCGAAGGCGGUCUACCAGAACACGUUCGACGGUGAGGGAUGAAAGCUGGGGGAACCAACCGGAUUAAAUACCCGGGUAUCCCCAGCUGUAAACUAUGCAAACUCAGUGAUGCAUUGGCU